rnacentral:tRNA from 14 species
GUAAUGUUGGUAUAGUGGUGAGCAUAGCUUCCUUCCAAGCAUAGCCGGGAUUCAAUUCCCGGCCAUUGCA